UCUUCCCUCUUCUGUUUCCACCCCGCCGGAGACAGCAGCCGGCGGAGCAGAUCUGCAAUAGGCUAAGGGGGCGUGAGGAGGGGCGUGGGUGGCAAAUUCGCAUCGCCCAAAGGCCGCUUAUCAAUAAGGUGUAAAACGCCUAAGGAUUAAAAUAUCCGCACAGAAUAACGCAGUCCCCACCCAAGCCCUCGACUACAAAAGCUGCCCUUUUUGGCUAUCUCAGCAGUGCUUAGCCGUCGAAAUAGGCGCGGGGGGUGGGGGUGGGGUAUCCAAGCGCUAGCAAGCAACGCAACGACCCGCCAAGAUUCCUGAAUGGUAUUUCCAGGGUUGUUCUCGCGCUAUGGAUUAUCCCUGAUGAUAUCUGGAGUGGCAGCUGGAAUGUCCUCAAUUAGAUGGACCCUGGUAUUCACUCAGACAUGCCAAGUUCUGACAUCAGCUCUGGGCUGAAGACCAAGGGAUUUUUAACAGGACACUUCCAGUUAGAGAGAAAUUAUUAUUUUACACAUGUUUAAUGGAUUAUAGCUUUACUUGGAAAAGAGUCACUCAUUUUCCCCUGUGACAUUCAGCUAUUAAACAAAAAGUAGGAGCAAUUCAAGUUUUCUUCCUUGCAUCAGUGAUGAUGGUUUCUCCCCUGUCAGUAAGGAAUGGCAUGUGGACUUGGAUAGGUGUCUGGCUCGUCAAGAUUGGGUCAUAUUCUUUCCAACUAUAAACUGAACAAAAUCCUAGUCUGAGAUCAAGAGGUGCCUUGACGCUAAGUUCAAAAGUGCUUUCCAUGGAACAGGUUGGACUUACUCAAUCCAAGAUAAUGGAGAGAAGACUCCAGGCAGAGGACGGAGAGAAAUUUUGCCCAAAGAUGUGAAAUCCCCCAAAGUCAGCAAAUGCUCAGUUUCUGAUAAGCGGGAUCAAUCGUAGCAGGAACUUUAUAGCUCUUUUUUCAGAUAUCACAUCAGAAUAUCUUUGACGUUGUCAGAAGCAACAUCGACACAGCCAAAGGAAAGAGCUGUGCAAAAUGGAAGGUGAGAUUUUUAAGAAUCUCUGAAGAGUAAGAGGUGACCCUUUGUCUGGUUUUGAGGGAUCUGAGAUGCAAAAUGUUUUCAGUUCAAAAUCCACUGUGUUAAGACCAAGUCAGCAUUAUUGGAAUAAGUGUCUUGGUUCUACAAGCAAAUAGGGUUGGCAAUGUACUGGAUGCAGUGCGUCUGAUGCAACAAGGAUCUAGAAUAGAGUUCCAGAACUAAGCUGCAAGAUUCCAAAUAACCACCAGAUGACACCAAUUUAUCCAAUCUCUCUUUACUACCACGGUGUGGUCAUCUGGAGCUCUGCAGAUCUGACAGUUGUAGUGUAAAGGCUUUGUAAAACCCCAUCAUGUGGAAGGAAUUGAAAUACUGGUUAGUCAGCUGAACAGGUCUCUUAAUCUAAGGCCAAGGGAGAUGACAGACAUUCACAUCAUAUCUGCAGAGACUAGAGCUGAGCUACACAGAAUCAAGAAGAAGAUGUGAUGUGAGUAACUGAACUAUCAGAAUACAGAUAGCAGUAAAAAAAGUAAAAAAAAGUUCUUCCCGGAAAGAGAUUCCUGGUAUUUGUAAAAAUAGAUGAGAAUGUGAAGUCAGGCUUUUUUCUUUGAAAGAUUAUAAAAACAGAGAUUUCAUAAAAAGCUACAACAAGAAAAAAAUAAAUUUGAGUGUCCAGAUACUGUGAUUAAGCCUCUUGGUGUGGCUUUGCUGAGCUUGUACCAAUUCUAAUUUUGUAAUUCAUCACCCCUUAGUUAAGCUAGAUCUGCUUUCCUAUGAUCACCCCAUAGUUAAGCUAGAUCUGCUUUCCUAUGAUCACUUAUUCUUCUUCUCAACAAAUAUGUAACGAGGGGCUGUUGUCUUUCACUAACAGUAAUUCAUGGAAGACUGCUCUCUUCAUCCUAGUGUAGAGCUUCACAAAACCAACAUGUGUUUAGAUAAGACCAAAAUAGAAAUGGUGUUCUUCUCAUAGCUGUCUUUUUCUUAAAUGCAUGCUCAUCCUGGAAGAAAAACAUUUUUUUUUCAUUCUUUGCUUAUUCUGAAGAAUUUACUCCUUUCAUGCCAAAGUUGAUUUCUUUUUAGUCAGUGAGCCAGAAGUGGAUUUUUCAUUGGUGAUUUUUGCACAUGGAAUGAUUGUAUUAUCUGCUCCUCGAGAUCCCAAUACCUACUCACAUGUAAACAAUAUGUUAGUUUUAAUAAGUGGCUUCCUCUAAGCCAUUAUAUUCUUUUCUCAUAGUACAUAGUACAGCUGAAAAAUUAUUCCUGUUCUUCUGAAAAGGGCAAGGUUUAAAUCAAAUAUUACAUUUCAUCAUGUUCUCUUUUCAGCUGUUGUGCUUUUUAUAGGAUCAAACAAAACAAAACAAAAAACAGCCACCCACAAAACAAACAAAACAAAACAAAAAACAGAUAAAAAAACGAACCAGCAAAUGAUCCCCCUAUCAUUGGGGGAACAGGAACUCAUGUUAACAGGCUAUUUAUCAUUAAUUCCACAAAUGCUAAGCAGAAAGCAAAACCCAUAAAAGUUUAAAGAAAGGAAAUAAUGAUGAAACAACUUUUAAAAUCAUACUGAUGUUUUGCAUAUCCAGUCAGGCAGCUGGGAUUGCAUUGUAUUUUACUACAAAAUCAUUACCAAAUCAGGUUUAAACAAACAAGAAAGUAAUGCAGCUGUCUGUAAUGAAGUCAUCUGGAUUUUCUUUAAAAAGAAACUGAACAAAGGCUAAGAAACCCUGGAUAAUCUUGACUCAUUUUUCUAUUCUAUUCCUAGUAUUGUAACUUAAAAAAAAACACUUAUUCUAAGAAAUAAGUACAAUGAUUUUCCAUACUUAAGCAGCACUCCAUCAGGACACCUAGCUCCCUCUCACGGGUACUACUGUUGAGCCAGAUAAUGCCCAUCCUGUACCUUUGCAUCUGGUUUUUCCCGCCUAAGUGCAGGACCUUACUUUUCUCACCACUGAACCAGAGGUGGGUUUCAGAGGGUUCUGACCAGUUCUGGAGAACUGGUAGCGGAAAUUCUGAGUAGUUUGAAGAACCGGUAGUAAAAAUUCUGACUGGCCCCGCCCCCAUCUGUUCUCUGCCUCCCAAGUCCCAGCUGAUUGGGAGGAAAUGGGGAUUUUGAAGUAACCUUCACCUUGAGUGGGGUGGUAAUGGAGAUUUUACAGUAUUCUUCCCCUGCCACGCCGACCAAGCCACACCCACAGAACCAGUAGUAAAAAAAUUUGAAACCCACCACUGCACUGAACUGCAUCGAUUUGGAUAAAGCCCAAUGCUCAAGUCUGUCAAGAUCCUUCUGAAUCUUAAGUCUCUCUUCCAAAGUGUUUGCAAUUCCCCCCCAGCUUGGUGUCAUCAGCAAAUUUGAUGAACUCUCUUUCAAUCUCCUCAUCUAGCUCAUUUAAGAAGAGGUGACAUUUAUUAAUAUGCUCCUCCUCAUUUUUCUUCUUUCCAUAACCAAACCACCUCUAUGUAUUUCUUUUGUAAUUGUCACUGUUUACCGUACUUCCUAAAUAUACCAUUACAACUAUGUUCAAUUUAUUUUUAUAUUUCUCCUAAUGCAGUCAGUUUUUAUAUCUAUAUAAUGUGUCCUGAUGUAGUCAGGUUUUGUAUAUGUAUAUAAUCUACUUCUUGGCCUGGAGAUUGCUGAAAUGGUGUGGUAUAGCACCACUCUUAUGUGUACACUCUUGUGGUGUAGCACACCCUCGUACACAAAUAUUUUGGUUUAUUUUUACAUUCAGCCUUUGCCACAGACCACAUACUACAAGUUUCUUUCCACCAGUUUGUGCAUUUAAUUUUUCUAUACUACUUUCCCCAUCUCAUAUAUAUUAGUCCUUUGGGUUCAGAAAAGAUGUGCAGUUCCUCUAUGGAUAUGGAAGUGACUCUGCACUCCCAGUUUGGAAGCAUGGAGUCUAGCACAGUCAGGGCAGGUCUAAUCGGACUGGAGCUAGCACACAACCCACAACCCUGUUUUACCCCAUUGGAAAUGGCAAAUGCACCUGAUGUAUCACUGUUGUAAAGAACCUUCCUAGCAUUCCAUUCCGGAGUAGCUGAAUCAACUUCACACAUUUAUUUAGGCAUUCAUAGCAUCUCUUACGGGACCGCCUUCUGUUACCUCAUGCCUCCCACCGACCCGUACACUCGCACAGAGAGGGCCUUCUCAGGGUGCCGUCCGCCAGACAAUGCCGGCUGGCGGCCCCCAGAGGAAGAUCCUUCUCUGUGGGGGCCCCCACUCUUUGGAAUGAAGUCCCCCCUAGUUUACGUCAAAUUCCUGACCUUCGGACUUUUCGCCGCAAACUGAAAACAUAUCUGUUUGUUCGUGCGGGGCUUUCUUAAAUUGUUUAGUUUUAAAUUCUAAAUUUUUCUCUGUUUUUAAUUGGGGUUUUUAGAUUCUUAAUUAUUCUAAUUUUGGCCAUAUUGUAUAAUAAGUUUUUUAAUUGUAUUUUAACUGUAUAUUGCU